rnacentral:rRNA from 1 species
GUCCCAGUUCGGACUGGAGUCUGCAACCCCGACUCCACGAAGUUGGAUUCGCUAGUAAUCGCGCAUCAGCCAUGGCGCGGUGAAUACGUUCCCGGGCCUUGUACACACCGCCCGUCAAGCCAUGGGAGCCGGGGGCGCCUGAAGUCCGGGACCGCGAGGACCGGCCUAGGGCGAAACUGGUAACUGGGGCUAAGUCGUAACAAGGUAGC